AUGUCAUGAUGUGGGCACUUCCUAAGCAAGUCAUUGAAUCUUUCCCAUGCCUCAUAAAACAUUUCCCCAUCCCCUUGAGAAAAUUCAAGAAAUGGAAGUUCUCAUAGCAU